GGUCCGCGGGCCUCGGCGCCAGCGCCGCCGACACCGGAGACCCGGGGCUGCGGUGAGCGCCGCGGGCCGGCCGCCGCUCCGCGCUCGGCGCCACUCUGCUCCCGCGGGGCGGCGCUCGCGGUCCGCGGGGCUGUGGAGCCGCGGAGGGGAGGGAGCGCAGUUUUCGGGGUCUCGCUGAGUAUCAGAGAUGGCGGGGUACCGGCCCAGGGGUCCCGGUCCUGCCUCCGACCCGGUUCCGGGAGGUGGCUCUGCACCCGCCUUCCGCGGACAACAGGGACCACGCGGGUCCCCGGGCCCGCCUCCACCCCGCGCCAGGCGAGAUCUCGUCCACAGGCGGGGCAGGGACCGAGCGCCGGUCGCUCCCGACGCGCCGCGGGGAACCAGGCCGGGAAGCUGCGUGGGGGGGCGCCCCGGAGUAGAGGGCCCGGCCCGGCCUCCAGCGGGGCGCGGCCUCGGCGCCCGUGGCCGGAGCCCCCGAGAAUCCCCGCGGAGGCCGCGCCGCCGGUGCUGUUUCCACGGAAUUCCUGGUCAGUUCUCGCCUCUCCAGGGCAAAACGCUGCUUUCAGAACUUCCGGUCGCCCUGCAUGGCUUUUGAAAGCACCGUUAACUCCAGUGGAUCCCAAGGAAAGCCUUAGGCAGCGGCGGCGCCUUGAGGGUGUGACAGAAUCCGAAGCUCCCGGCAGCCGCUCGGCAAACAGCAAGCUGGGCGAGGCCGCUCUGCACACAGGCUUGGAAGCCCCUGGCCCAGCGCUCACCCCGGGGGCGCUGCACACACAGGGAGUCCCACGUGUCCCCGGGCCCAGCCCAGUUCCAUUCCGGACCGGAAGAACCCGCUGCAGACGUGGGCUACGCGAGCCCCAGCCGUAUUCCAGGAGCAGCAUCAAGAAAGCCGCCGGGCCGGCGAGUGAACAACCAAGUCAGCUGCCUGCAGAGCGGACGGUUCCACGCCGCGUGGGGACACGCGCGGGCUCACGGGGCGCAGGGGCGGGGCACUUGGGCGAGAGCUUUGCGUCCCAGGCUGCGUUCCUCUACCUUCAAGGCACCUCUGCCUCCAGGGUGCGGGACGGCCUCGGCCCCGCCCACCGCACGCUGUCAGAAUACAGGUGCAAAUCCUCGGUCCAAAUGCUUGGGACCAGAGGUGUUACAGAUUUCUCAUUUGCUUUUAGUGUGGGGUAUUUGCAUAUAGGUAAUGAGACAUCUUGGGAAUUUGACAGGAACCUAAACAUGAAUGUAGCUUAUUUUAUGGUGGGUUUUUUUUUUUUUUUUUUGACAGGCAGAGUGGACACUGAGAGAGACAGAGAGAAAGGUCUUCCUUUUGCCGUUGGGUCACCCUCCAAUGGCUGCCACAGCUGGCGCGCUGCGGCCAGCACACCACGCUGA
rnacentral:lncRNA from 1 species